GGAGAGGUGCCCGGAGCGGCUGAUCGGGGACCGAAGGCCACGGAGUCCACGCAGGUUCGAAUCCUGCCCUCUCCG
rnacentral:tRNA from 1 species